AGUGAACGCUGGCGGUAGGCCUAACACAUGCAAGUCGAACGGCAGCACAGUAAGAGCUUGCUCUUACGGGUGGCGAGUGGCGGACGGGUGAGGAAUACAUCGGAAUCUACUUUUUCGUGGGGGAUAGCGUAGGGAAACUUACGCUAAUACCGCAUACGACCUACGGGUGAAAGCAGGGGAUCUUCGGACCUUACGCGAUUGAAUGAGCCGAUGUCGGAUUAGCUAGUUGGCGGGGUAAAGGCCCACCAAGGCGACGAUCCGUAGCUGGUCUGAGAGGAUGAUCAGCCACACUGGAACUGAGACACGGUCCAGACUCCUACGGGAGGCAGCAGUGGGGAAUAUUGGACAAUGGGCGCAAGCCUGAUCCAGCCAUACCGCGUGGGUGAAGAAGGCCUUCGGGUUGUAAAGCCCUUUUGUUGGGAAAGAAAAGCAGCAGGUUAAUACCCCGCUGUUCUGACGGUACCCAAAGAAUAAGCACCGGCUAACUUCGUG
rnacentral:rRNA from 1 species